CUCUCUCUGUUGUACAUAGAUACAAUACAGAAGCACUUGCACUUUGCGCAAGAAGAGUCAUAUUUCAGGCUUGUGUGUGAAUCUAAUAUCCACAUCCAAUGACAAAAGCACCAAAACCCUUCUUUCUCAUUGGAUGCUGUUAGAUUCACGCACAAACUCGUAAUCUGUCUUUUCAUUUUUUUUCCCUGUACAAAGCUAUAACUGUAUUCAGUUACAACAAGGCCCAGUAAAAACCACCUGAAGAUGCUCUGUUCCGGUUGAGGUUAACCUUCCCAUUCCGUUUAAGGUUUGAAUUCACAUCAAGGCCAUAAGAAUGGUAGAAGAGCUCUGGAGGCUGAGCCGGAUAAUUGCUUGGAAACUGUAUGUCAAAGAAGAACAGACAUGGGAAUAAGAGGAACCUUUAGGACCUACUAUCACGGCUCUCAUUAGAUCCUGCCUUGACUUGUAAGCUCUAAUGUAAAUUGAAUCAGGAAGAUUUGCCUCCAAUGUUUUCCAUUCUUUGUUGAUGAAAAUGUUUUCAUCUGGGUAGAACUGAUCAUGGAAGAACUGAUGAUCAGGAGGGGAUUUGGAAAUAUUGCAAAGUUGUUGAACUUCUAAAACAUCAUCUCAACCUUGUCUAUUUCUUCUGCAAUAUCUCCAUAUUGCCUUGUUGAUUUAAAUUAUUGGUCUUC